rnacentral:rRNA from 1 species
AAAUCGGCAUCGAUUAGAUAUUAUAGGUUUACCGCUAAGAGAUGGGUGUGCGGCUGAUUAGGUAGUUGGCGGAGUAAUAGCCCACCAAGCCGACGAUCAGUAGCUGAUGUGAGAGCAUGAUCAGCCACACGGGCACUGAGACACGGGCCCGACUCCUACGGGAGGCAGCAGUAAGGAAUAUUGGACAAUGGACGCAAGUCUGAUCCAGCCAUGCCGCGUGAAGGAUUAAGGCCCUCUGGGUUGUAAACUUCUUUUAUAGGGGACGAAAAAAGGGUUUUCUAGCUCGUCUGACGGUACCCUAUGAAUAAGCACCGGCUAACUCCGUGCCAGCAGCCGCGGUAAUACGGAGGGUGCAAGCGUUAUCCGGAUUCACUGGGUUUAAAGGGUGCGUAGGCGGGCAGUUAAGUCAGUGGUGAAAUCUUCGAGCUCAACUCGGAAACUGCCAUUGAUACUAUCUGUCUUGAAUACUGUGGAGGUGAGCGGAAUAUGUCAUGUAGCGGUGAAAUGCUUAGAUAUGACAUAGAACACCGAUUGCGAAGGCAGCUCGCUACACAAAUAUUGACGCUGAGGCACGAAAGCGUGGGGAUCAAACAGGAUUAGAUACCCUGGUAGUCCACGCCCUAAACUAUGGAUACUCGACAUUUGCGAUACACAGUAAGUGUCUGAGCGAAAGCAUUAAGUAUCCCACCUGGGAAGUACGACCGCAAGGU